UGGGGUUGCAAGAAGAGCUGGACAUGACUUAGGGACUAAGCAAUAACAACAAUUUAUAUACUAACUGUAAAAAGGUGAAAUUAAGUGGUUAAAAACUGUGUCAAAAAACCACCAAGCCGCCGCGACCAAGAUGGCUGAGAGAGUCACAGCCUUCCUCGAGAAUGUCUGGGCCAAGGAAGCUGUGCUGGUGGCAUCCUUCGCCACUGCGGGCCUCGCUGUGAUCCCACCCACACUCAGCCCCUACACCAAGUACUCGCUCACGAUCAACCGGGCCACACCGUACAACUACCCAGCGCCCCUCCGAGACGACGGGGACAUGCCCGACGUGCCCAGCCACCCUCAGGACCCCCAGGGCCCGAGCCUGGAGUGGCUGAAGAGACUGUGAGCGCUUCCAUUGACAGGGAGCGGCCCCCACCCCGAUGGCCCCAAUAAAUGCGUGAAAACC